rnacentral:rRNA from 1 species
UAACGCGAAGAACCUUACCAGGUCUUGACAUCUUCUGCUAACCUAAGAGAUUAGGCGUUCCCUUCGGGGACGGAAUGACAGGUGGUGCAUGGUUGUCGUCAGCUCGUGUCGUGAGAUGUUGGGUUAAGUCCCGCAACGAGCGCAACCCUUAUUGUCAGUUGCCAGCAUUUAGUUGGGCACUCUGGCGAGACUGCCGGUGACAAACCGGAGGAAGGUGGGGAUGACGUCAAAUCAUCAUGCCCCUUAUGACCUGGGCUACACACGUGCUACAAUGGACGGUACAACGAGUCGCGAAACCGCGAGGUCAAGCUAAUCUCUUAAAGCCGUUCUCAGUUCGGAUUGUAGGCUGCAACUCGCCUACAUGAAGUUGGAAUCGCUAGUAAUCGUGAAUCAGC